GUACACGCUGUGACUAGCAUAUCAAUAAGCGGAGGAAAAGAAACUAACAAGGAUUCCCCUAGUAACGGCGAGUGAAGCGGGAAGAGCUCAAAUUUGAAAUCUUAAAGGGUUUCCCUUUACGAAUUGUAGUUUAAAGAAGUGUUUUCUGUUGAGGUUUUGGUAAAAGUUCUUUGGAAUCAGGACAUCAUAGAGGGUGAGAAUCCCGUAUUUGACCUUUACUUUCAACUUUGUGAUACACUUUCAAAGAGUCGGAUUGUUUGGGAAUGCAGUCCAAAAUGGGUGGUAAAUUUCAUCUAAAGCUAAAUAUUGGCGAGAGACCGAUAGCGAACAAGUACCGUGAGGGAAAGAUGAAAAGAACUUUGAAAAGAGAGUUAAACAGUACGUGAAAUUGUCAAAAGGGAAGCGUUUGACACCAGUGUUGUUUUUCUGAAAAUCAAUUAAAGAACUGUUUAUGCUAAGCUGUUUAGACUUUAUCAGCUAUCUGUUUAGUUUUGAGCUUUUCUUUAAUGCACUUUUCAGUUAACAAGUCAACAUCAAUUUCUUUUGCUGUAAAAAAGCUUGAGGAAGGUGGCUUGAGAUUCGUCUUAAGUGUUUAUAGCCUCUUGCCUAUGCAGUCGGAGAGAUUGAGGUCUGCAGCGUAGAUCCUUCGGGGCUAAAUGCAUUUGUGCUAAGUUAUAGCAUUUUAUAGACAACUUGUUGACUAUGAUUUGUCUUGUAGCUUACUCGCUUAUGUUAUUUUACCUACGCUUAGGAUGUUGAGUCGUAGAGCACGCAG
rnacentral:rRNA from 1 species